UACAAUGGAGCUUGGUGGUAUAGCAGCUGCCUUGCAUGCAAAAGGUACCAUGUUCGAUUCAUAGCAUUUGUAG